GAAAAGGGGAGAUGCAACGAGACCUGGGUGCCAUGGUACACCAGUCAUUAAAAGUAGGCAUGCAGGUACAGCAGGCAGUGAAGAUAGCUAUUUACAUGUUGGCCUUAAUA